GGGAGGGGUGGGAGGAGAGCCGGGAGGCCGCUCCCGCAGCACCCUGGGAGUUAUAGUCCGCGGAGGGUAACCGCCCAGCUGCAAGCCGGGAGUUGAAGUUCUCGCUCGGAGGGUGGACGGGAUGGCCCGCCUCACGUGGCCGCUACACUGCUGCCUUUCUUCGUAUUUUGCUUCGUUCUCUGUCCUCGUGUAAAGCUCCGCUGUCACUCAGUCGGCGGUCUUCGUUAGCGGCUCCGUUUCCUCGGUGUGUGCUCAGAACUGGGAUACCAGAACUCGGGCGAGCUUAACCAAUUUAGGGGGAGCCGGGAACGUCUCUUCUCUGCCCCGCCCACCAUAGGUAUUAAAGGAGGCGGGGUAGAGGCAGGUUGUCGGUAGGAGGAGCGCGGGAUUUGAUCUGGGGUGAGACCUUGACUCUGAAUUGGCGUCUGUUUGCGAAAAGUGAGCGUUAACCCCUUUUCCCGUGUUUGCGCAUUUUGGAGCCCUCACCCUUGAUCCCAUCCUCACCGUUAAUCUCCAGUGAGGAAGUAUCCUAAAUUGUCCUGUACAGAUAUACCAGAGAACGAUGGAGCCAUGCACUUAGAGAAACGUGUUUCUAAUGAUAUAAAUUUGAGAACAUUAUGUGGACUUCGCUGCAGAUCAUUGUUAGUUCGGUGUACUACCUGUACGGCUCUGUGCAUGAAGUUCACCAACCACCACAUAUCAGUACGUCCCAACGAAUGUUCAGAAUGUACUCGCAAUCCCUACGAGCGCCGACGAAUCCUCAAUCACAAAAAUCAAGUUCCUGAUCCCACCCGCUGGUCUCCUAGAGCUCUGGUGAAAGUGGCGCUCGAAGCACUCAGUUUUGCUUAUUGCGUGUAUUCUUCGCCCAUUCAUACAAUGAAUGCUCAGUGGGCUCGUCCUGUGUGCCUGGCACUGUUCUAAAUAUGGGAAGACGACGUUUCUUCACUAUCAAGGCUAGAGACAACAAUUUAUUUGGUGAAACCUUAAAGAACUUGAUAAACUCACGAUUAACCAUAAAUUUGAAAUUAUAAAAUCAUGAAA